GGAGACAUCAAGAAAUCCGGCGAGCUUGGUAAAAUGUUUGACCUCCAUCUUCUUGAUUCCCCAACUUCCGGCCCUCCUCCUUCUAAACCCUCUCGUCCUUCCUCUUCUUCUCAGCACAACAGUGGAUCGGUGCGAUCCGGCCCUAAUUCCGGACCUGUUACUAAGCACUCUAAUUCCGGUCCAAUCUCCAAGAAAUCUUCCGGUCCGAUUUCCCUC
rnacentral:misc_RNA from 1 species